rnacentral:rRNA from 1 species
GACGAACGCUGGCGGCGUGCUUAACACAUGCCAGUCGAACGGAAAGGCCCUGCUUUUGUGGGGUGCUCGAGUGGCGAACGGGUGAGUAACACGUGAGUAACCUGCCCUUGACUUUGGGAUAACUUCAGGAAACUGGGGCUAAUACCGGAUAGGAGCUCCUGCUGCAUGGUGGGGGUUGGAAAGUUUCGGCGGUUGGGGAUGGACUCGCGGCUUAUCAGCUUGUUGGUGGGGUAGUGGCUUACCAAGGCUUUGACGGGUAGCCGGCCUGAGAGGGUGACCGGCCAAAAUGGGAAUGAGGGACGGCCCAGACUCCUACGGGAGGCAGCAGUGGGGAAUAUUGCAAAAUGGGCGGGAGCCUGAUGCAACCACGCCGCGUGCGGGAUGACGGCCUUCGGGUUGUAAACCGCUUUCGCCUGUGACGAAGCGUGAGUGACGGUAAUGGGUAAAGAAGCACCGGCUAACUACGUG